AUUGAACGCUGGCGGCAGGCCUAACACAUGCAAGUCGAGCGAGCGGCGGACGGGAGAGUAAUGUCUGGGGAACUGCCUGACGGAGGGGGAAAACUACGGGAAACGGUAGCUAAUACCGCAUAAUAUCGGAUGUGCCCAGAUGGGAUUAGGUAGUAGGUGGGGUAAAGGCUCACCUAGGCGACGAUCCCUAGCAGGUCUGAGAGGAUGAGCAGCCACACUGGAACUGAGACACGGUCCAGACUCCUACGGGAGGCAGCAGUGGGGAAUAUUGCACAAUGGGCGCAAGCCUGAUGCAGCCAUGCCGCGUGAAUGAAGAAGGCCUUCGGGUUGUAAAGUACUUUCAGCUGGGAGGCGUUACCCACAGAGGAAGCACCGGCUAACUCCGUGCCAGCAGCCGCGGUAAUUC
rnacentral:rRNA from 1 species